GACGAACGCUGGCGGCGUGCUUAACACAUGCAAGUCGAACGGAAAGAGAUGAAAGAGCUUGCUCUUUUAUUAAUUUCAGUGGCAAACGGGUGAGUAACACGUAAACAACCUGCCUUAGGGAUGGGGAUAACAGACGGAAACGACUGCUAAUACCGAAUACGUUCUAAGCAUCGCAUGAUGCAUAGAAGAAAGGGUGGCCUCUACAAGAAAGCUAUCGCCUUAAGAGGGGUUUGCGACUGAUUAGGUAGUUGGUGAGGUAACGGCUCACCAAGCCGACGAUCAGUAGCCGGUCUGAGAGGAUGAACGGCCACACUGGAACUGAGACACGGUCCAGACUCCUACGGGAGGCAGCAGUGGGGAAUCUUCCGCAAUGGACGAAAGUCUGACGGAGCAACGCCGCGUGAACGAAGAAGGUCUUCGGAUUGUAAAGUUCUGUGAUUCGGGACGAAAGGGUAAAUAGUGAAUAACUAUAGACAUUGACGGUACC
rnacentral:rRNA from 1 species